rnacentral:rRNA from 1 species
UACGUAGGAGGCGAGCGUUGUCCGGAAUCACUGGGCGUAAAGCGCGUGUAGGCGGGAAGGCAAGUCUGCUGUGAAAGCGCCUGGCUUAACCGGGCGAGGUCGGCGGAAACUGCUUACCUGGAGGACGGUAGAGGGGGUGGAAUUCCCGGUGUAGUGGUGAAAUGCGUAGAGAUGUGGAGGAACACCGAUGGCGAAGGCAGCCCCUGGGUCGACACUGACGCUCAUGCACGAAAGCGUGGGAGCAAACAGG